UCUACAGGUCGAGCAAGUCUCGUAAAUUUCACGAUUGCGAGCCACGCUUCACGCAACCGUGUUUGCGUACUUGUGUUUCGAGUUGCGUGGUCGUGCGGAGUUAUAUUUACCAAAUUUAAAUGUAAUCGUUUCUACUGAUAAUAAUAUACUAUUCUCAAUAUGGCUACUGGGUGUAAAAGAUAAAUCUUAUUCUAUCUGUUCUUCAUGAGUUUUAGAUAAUUUUAGUUGUAUUUCUUUGUAAUUUUGUGUUGUACAAAGAUUAAUUUAACAUUUUCUCUGGAAGUAUUAAUUUAGAAAGAUAAUAUGCUUCAUUGGUGUUGUGUUUUGAAGUGUGAAAUGCAAAGUAAUUGUGAUAAAGUCAAGAUAAAGUUCACUUUUAAACUGAACUAAAUAAGGUAUCUGAGAGACAACAAUGGUUAAAUGCAAUACAAGGUACAGGUUUUACUAGCGAAAUGAAAAUUUUCCUGUCCUGUCUGCUGUAAUCAUUUUAUAUCUGGAAAAUAGGAAAACCAGCCGACUUAAUCGAUAAUAACAAUCUCCAGAUUGGGUUCCUUCAUUAAAUAUGGGCUAUAAACACAAUGAAAUAAGUUCCCCAAAAUCUAAAAUGGAGUGCUAUCAAAGGAGAAUUAAAGGAAAAAAUAUUCAUAUUGAAAUUAUUUAUAAGGCACUGGACUGUCUUAAAUUCUACAAUAAUACUAGAAUCAGCUGAGAGAAGUGGUCUACAAAAAACCAGGAAGGAAACGGAAUAUGUGGCUACGAAAGGCAAAAGAAAGGUUUACAAAGCAAAUGUGACACAUUUUUUUGAAAUAUUUAGGAAUAUCAGUAAAUUGCAUUAAAAAAUGUAUGAAAAGAUUUUGUUCAAUAAAAAUGUUUAUAUUUA